GACGAACGCUGGCGGCGUGCCUAAUACAUGCAAGUAGAACGCUGAAGGAGGAGCUUGCUUCUCCGGAUGAGUUGCGAACGGGUGAGUAACGCGUAGGUAACCUGCCUGGUAGCGGGGGAUAACUAUUGGAAACGAUAGCUAAUACCGCAUAAGAGUAGAUGUCGCAUGACAUUUGCUUAAAAGGUGCAACUGCACCACUACCAGAUGGACCUGCGUUGUAUUAGCUAGUUGGUGAGGUAACGGCUCACCAAGGCAACGAUACAUAGCCGACCUGAGAGGGUGAUCGGCCACACUGGGACUGAGACACGGCCCAGACUCCUACGGGAGGCAGCAGGAGGGAAUCUUCGGCAAUGGACGGAAGUCUGACCGAGCAACGCCGCGGGAGUGAAGAAGGUUUUCGGAUCGUAAAGCUCUGUUGUAAGAGAAGAACGAGUGUGAGAGUGGAAAGUUCACACUGUGACGGUAUCUUACCAGAAAGGGACGGCUAACUACGUG
rnacentral:rRNA from 1 species